rnacentral:rRNA from 1 species
GUCGCAAGACCAAAGAGGGGGACCUUCGGGCCUCUUGCCAUCAGAUGUGCCCAGAUGGGAUUAGCUAGUAGGUGGGGUAACGGCUCACCUAGGCGACGAUCCCUAGCUGGUCUGAGAGGAUGACCAGCCACACUGGAACUGAGACACGGUCCAGACUCCUACGGGAGGCAGCAGUGGGGAAUAUUGCACAAUGGGCGCAAGCCUGAUGCAGCCAUGCCGCGUGUAUGAAGAAGGCCUUCGGGUUGUAAAGUACUUUCAGCGGGGAGGAAGG